rnacentral:rRNA from 1 species
UACGUAGGCAGCAAGCGUUGUUCGGAGUUACUGGGCGUAAAGGGUGUGUAGGCGGUUGCUUAAGUUUGGUGUGAAAUCUCCCGGCUCAACUGGGAGGGUGCGCCGAAUACUGAGUGACUCGAGUGCGGGAGAGGAAAGUGGAAUUCCUGGUGUAGUGUGAAAUGCGUAGAUAUCAGGAGGAACACCGGUGGUGUAGACGGCUUUCUGGACCGUAACUGACGCUGAGACACGAAAGCGUGGGUAGCAAACAGG